rnacentral:rRNA from 1 species
GGGUUGUGAGGUUAAGCGACUAAGCGUACACGGUGGAUGCCCUGGCAGUCAGAGGCGAUGAAGGGCGUGCUAAUCUGCGAUAAGCGCCGGUAAGGUGAUAUGAACCGUUAUAACCGGCGAUACCCGAAUGGGGAAACCCAGUGUGACUCGUCACACUAUCAUUAACUGAAUCCAUAGGUUAAUGAGGCGAACCGGGGGAACUGAAACAUCUAAGUACCCCGAGGAAAAGAAAUCAACCGAGAUUCCCCCAGUAGCGGCGAGCGAACGGGGAGGAGCCCAGAGCCUGAAUCAGCAUGUGUGUUAGUGGAAGCGUCUGGAAAGGCGCGCGAUACAGGGUGACAGCCCCGUACACAAAAGCGCAUGUGCUGUGAGCUCGAUGAGUAGGGCGGGACACGUGGUAUCCUGUCUGAAUAUGGGGGGACCAUCCUCCAAGGCUAAAUACUCCUGACUGACCGAUAGUGAACCAGUACCGUGAGGGAAAGGCGAAAAGAACCCCGGCGAGGGGAGUGAAAAAGAACCUGAAACCGUGUACGUACAAGCAGUGGGAGCACCUGUGUGACUGCGUACCUUUUGUAUAAUGGGUCAGCGACUUAUAUUCUGUAGCAAGGUUAACCGAAUAGGGGAGCCGGAGGGAAACCGAGUCUUAAUUGGGCGUUAAGUUGCAGGGUAUAGACCCGAAACCCGGUGAUCUAGCCAUGGGCAGGUUGAAGGUUGGGUAACACUAACUGGAGGACCGAACCGACUAAUGUUGAAAAAUUAGCGGAUGACCUGUGGCUGGGGGUGAAAGGCCAAUCAAACCGGGAGAUAGCUGGUUCUCCCCGAAAGCUAUUUAGGUAGCGCCUCGUGAAUUCAUCUCCGGGGGUAGAGCACUGUUUCGGCUAGGGGGCCAUCCCGGCUUACCAACCCGAUGCAAACUGCGAAUACCGGAGAAUGUUAUCACGGGAGACACACGGCGGGUGCUAACGUCCGUCGUGAAGAGGGAAACAACCCAGACCGCCAGCUAAGGUCCCAAAGUCAUGGUUAAGUGGGAAACGAUGUGGGAAGGCCCAGACAGCCAGGAUGUUGGCUUAGAAGCAGCCAUCAUUUAAAGAAAGCGUAAUAGCUCACUGGUCGAGUCGGCCUGCGCGGAAGAUGUAACGGGGCUAAACCAUGCACCGAAGCUGCGGCAGCGACACUGUGUGUUGUUGGGUAGGGGAGCGUUCUGUAAGCCUGCGAAGGUGGCCUGUGAGGGUUGCUGGAGGUAUCAGAAGUGCGAAUGCUGACAUAAGUAACGAUAAAGCGGGUGAAAAGCCCGCUCGCCGGAAGACCAAGGGUUCCUGUCCAACGUUAAUCGGGGCAGGGUGAGUCGACCCCUAAGGCGAGGCCGAAAGGCGUAGUCGAUGGGAAACGGGUUAAUAUUCCCGUACUUGGUGUUACUGCGAAGGGGGGACGGAGAAGGCUAUGUUGGCCGGGCGACGGUUGUCCCGGUUUAAGCGUGUAGGUGUGUGUUCCAGGUAAAUCCGGUUCACUUUAACACUGAGGCGUGACGACGAGGCACUACGGUGCUGAAGCAACAAAUGCCCUGCUUCCAGGAAAAGCCUCUAAGCAUCAGGUAACAUCAAAUCGUACCCCAAACCGACACAGGUGGUCAGGUAGAGAAUACCAAGGCGCUUGAGAGAACUCGGGUGAAGGAACUAGGCAAAAUGGUGCCGUAACUUCGGGAGAAGGCACGCUGACACGUAGGUGAAGUGAUUUACUCAUGGAGCUGAAGUCAGUCGAAGAUACCAGCUGGCUGCAACUGUUUAUUAAAAACACAGCACUGUGCAAACACGAAAGUGGACGUAUACGGUGUGACGCCUGCCCGGUGCCGGAAGGUUAAUUGAUGGGGUCAGCGCAAGCGAAGCUCCUGAUCGAAGCCCCGGUAAACGGCGGCCGUAACUAUAACGGUCCUAAGGUAGCGAAAUUCCUUGUCGGGUAAGUUCCGACCUGCACGAAUGGCGUAAUGAUGGCCAGGCUGUCUCCACCCGAGACUCAGUGAAAUUGAACUCGCUGUGAAGAUGCAGUGUACCCGCGGCAAGACGGAAAGACCCCGUGAACCUUUACUAUAGCUUGACACUGAACAUUGAGCCUUGAUGUGUAGGAUAGGUGGGAGGCUUUGAAGUGUGGACGCCAGUCUGCAUGGAGCCGACCUUGAAAUACCACCCUUUAAUGUUUGAUGUUCUAACGUGGACCCGUUACCCGGGUUGCGGACAGUGUCUGGUGGGUAGUUUGACUGGGGCGGUCUCCUCCUAAAGAGUAACGGAGGAGCACGAAGGUUGGCUAAUCCUGGUCGGACAUCAGGAGGUUAGUGCAAUGGCAUAAGCCAGCUUGACUGCGAGCGUGACGGCGCGAGCAGGUGCGAAAGCAGGUCAUAGUGAUCCGGUGGUUCUGAAUGGAAGGGCCAUCGCUCAACGGAUAAAAGGUACUCCGGGGAUAACAGGCUGAUACCGCCCAAGAGUUCAUAUCGACGGCGGUGUUUGGCACCUCGAUGUCGGCUCAUCACAUCCUGGGGCUGAAGUAGGUCCCAAGGGUAUGGCUGUUCGCCAUUUAAAGUGGUACGCGAGCUGGGUUUAGAACGUCGUGAGACAGUUCGGUCCCUAUCUGCCGUGGGCGCUGGAGAACUGAGGGGGGCUGCUCCUAGUACGAGAGGACCGGAGUGGACGCAUCACUGGUGUUCGGGUUGUCAUGCCAAUGGCACUGCCCGGUAGCUAAAUGCGGAAGAGAUAAGUGCUGAAAGCAUCUAAGCACGAAACUUGCCCCGAGAUGAGUUCUCCCUGAGACUUAAAGUCUCCUGAAGGAACGUUGAAGACGACGACGUUGAUAGGCCGGGUGUGUAAGCGCAGCGAUGCGUUGAGCUAACCGGUACUAAUGAACCGUGAGGCUUAACCUUACAACGCCGAAG